AGUGAACGCUGGCGGCAGGCCUAACACAUGCAAGUCGAACGGCAGCACAGCAGUAGCAAUACUGUGGGUGGCGAGUGGCGGACGGGUGAGGAAUACAUCGGAAUCUGCCCAGUCGUGGGGGAUAACAUAGGGAAACUUAUGCUAAUACCGCAUACGACCUACGGGUGAAAGCGGGGGAUCGCACGACCUCGCGCGACUGGAUGAGCCGAUGUCCGAUUAGCUAGAUGGCGGGGUAAUGGCCCACCAAGGCGACGAUCGGUAGCUGGUCUGAGAGGAUGAUCAGCCACACUGGAACUGAGACACGGUCCAGACUCCUACGGGAGGCAGCAGUGGGGAAUAUUGGACAAUGGCGCAAGCCUGAUCCAGCCAUGCCGCGUGGGUGAAGAAGGCCUUCGGGUUGUAAAGCCCUUUUGUCCGGAAAGAAAAGCUCGGGGUUAAUACCUUCGGGUUCUGACGGUACCGGAAGAAUAAGCACCGGCUAACUUCGUGCCAGCCGCCGCAGUAAAAC
rnacentral:rRNA from 1 species